rnacentral:rRNA from 1 species
UAAUACGUACCGUCCAAACGUUAUUCGGAAUUACUGGGCUUAAAGGGUGCGUAGGCUGUGCAGAAAGUUGGGUGUGAAAUCCCCCGGCUCAACCGGGGAAUGGCGCUCAAAACUACUGUGCUCGAGGAAGACAGAGGUAAGCGGAACUUCGGGUGGAGCGGUGAAAUGCGUUGAUAUCCGAAGGAACACCGGUGGCGAAAGCGGCUUACUGGGUCUUUUCUGACGCUGAUGCACGAAAGCUAGGGUAGCGAACGGGAUUAGAUACCCCGGUAGUCCUAGCCGUAAACGAUGAGCACUGGGUUGGAGGGUCCCUCAUAGCCUUCCAGCCGCAGCGAAAGUGUUAAGUGCUCCGCCUGGGGAGUAUGGUCGCAAGGCUG